GAAACGUACAAGGAAAUGAAACACAGACGGAGAAGGAAGUCCUGGCGGGGCUGGAGAAGAAAAGUGGUGUUCCUCCUUAGCCAGAUCCUCCCCCGAGCUCUGGAGCUCCAGAAUGUUCUGUCCUCUUUAUGGUGGAGGUUGGAGUAGGGAUAUAGUCUUCCCUCCCCACGCACCGGAGCAUCUGAGGCCACUGCAUCUGGCCCUGUUUGUCCUGGAGCACGUGGGCAAAGUGGUGCCCGUCCAUAGCCAGCUGCUGCCCUGGACCCAUCAGCUGUGCCAGGUGGAGCGUGGACAGCAAACGCCUCCAGAGUCCUGCGAAGUGCGUACAAUCUUGCAUUCUUGACCCAAGAUUUUGCCCCACAGAAGGGGCCUGUAAUCCUUGUGAACCCCACCUGUCUGGAGUAGAGGGGCACCCACUGGUCCAGAACCAUCGCUCAAGCAGAAGGAGAGAGCUCAUGUCGGCUGCUGCACAUUACCUGGCUUCCUGUGUUACAAACAAAAGAAGCCGGCCAAACUGUGCAGUCUGAAAAAUGAAACCCAGAACUAGCACAUCCUAGUUCCCGGAACCUGUGAACAUUACCUUCUGUGAAAAGAAAGAAAUUGCAGAUGUGAUUACGUUAAGGACCUUGCGAUGCAGAGAUUAUCCUGCAUUACCCAGGUGGGCCCUAAAUGCUAUCACGUGUAUCUUUAUAAGAGAGAGGCAGAAGGAGACUCGAGACACACAGAGGCCAUGUGGUGACGGAGCAGAGAGAGGUCUGAAGAUGCGGCCUUGAAGGCUGGAGUAAUGCAGCGCAGGAAUGCUGGCAGCCAGCAGCAGCUGGCAGAGGCGGGGAGCGGAUCCUCCCAGGAGCCUCUGGAAGGAGCAGAGCCCUGCCAACGCCUUGAUUUUGACCCAGUUAAACUGAUUUCAGAUUUUUGGCUUCCAGAACCGUGAGAGAACAAAUCUCUGCAGUUUUAUGCCACCCAGCUUGUGGCAGUUUGUCACAGCAAACCACUGGGAACUAAUAUAGAAUCCGUAAAGCGAAAGAGAAGCACCUUCUCAGAAAAACAUGGCCCCAAGGAAGUCAUUGCCCGCAGACCAGCCCUGUAAGGAAUGUUUUGUUUUGGCCGCGUUGGGUCUUCGUUGCUGCGCGUGGGCUUUCUCUAGUUGCAGCGAGUGGGGCUACUCUUCCUUGUGGUGCACGGGCUUCUCGUUGUGGUGUCUUCUCUUGUUGCAGAGCACGGGCUCUAGGCACACGGGCUUAGUAGUUGUGGCGCACGGGCUUAGCUGCUCCGUGGCAUGUGGGAUCUUCCCGGACCAGGGCUCGAACCCAUGCCCUCUGCAUUGGCAGGCGGAUUCUUAACCACUGUGCCACCAGCGAAAUCCCCAACCCUGGAGGAAAUGUUAAAAUAAGUUAUUUAGUCAGAAGGAAAAUUGGAUCUCCAUAAAGAAACGAAGACCCUCAGAGAAAGAAUAAAUGAAGGCAACUGUGGGCCACAGACAGGUGCCCACUGAGAGGCUCAGAAGUACCUGUGAAUGCUAGCAUGGGGUGGGGGGUGGCCAGGAGCCAGCCCCCAGCCCCAGAGUUUCUACCUCUGAGGGGCUGACAGCAAGACACUGAUUUUCCUGAAGUGAAAAAAGCCGAGCUGAUUUUAUUUUUACUCGGCAAAGAAAGCUGUUUCUUCAUUGUGUAUUUUCCUUGGGGUGGCCUUUGAGAGGAGUUGUUGGAGUGGUGGGAACACCAACACUGACACUGACCAAUGCAGAAUAAAUACCAGAUGCUGGGCUGGUCAGAGCAAGAGUUGGGGCAACCUUGGAAGUAAGUAUUUAAAAGCUUUUAAAGAAGUUUAAAGGUUGGAGAGGAUUCUGGGAUGAUGGCAGAGCAAGAAGCACCGGGAAUGGCCCCCACCUGGACCACAACUGCAGGGACAGAAUCUGUCUGAUGUAACUAACUUGGAAUCCAGAGCUGGUUAAGGCUUGCAAGUUCCAGGGGAAGUGCUGGAUGGUUACUGCAGUCAAUUGUGGUGACUUUCAGGUCUUAGCACGUAGCACCUUCCCGUCCCACCCUCAGCCACAUGGCAGGAGGCCUGUUUCUAGAGCAGCUUGCAGAAGCCAGCCAGGGUGGACCAAAAGGACCUUGUCCUCCAAUAUCAGGAAUCUGUGCUCUGAUGCUGCUUAAGAUGGCAGAGAUGCAGCCAAAGAGGCAGGUGGCCAUUGUUGCCACACCUCCCCCCUUGUUGCAAACCCCUCCCCCACCAAGUGGAUUUCAAGGGCGAGUGCCCCAUUUAUCCCCCUUUGUUUUUCUCUUUUCCCCCAUUUUCAAGCCAGACAUUAAAGACUAGGGCAUUGGAAAACAACUGCAUAGACACGAAAAGACAGAAAAUGAUGGCACAUGCCCAGGAAAGGCUCAGGAAAGACCUGAGCAGACAUUAAGUUUCCACCUCAGGCUGAGCCUCAGCUCAGACAACCUACAACAAGCAAAGAACAAAAACAAUAACAAAAAGCAUCAGACCUUGAGGAAGGGGGAGAAUCCGAUUUCCAGAGUUACCACAUUAUUGGAUUCAAAUGUCCAAUUUUCAGCAACAACAAAAUAAAAAUCACAAGGCAUACAAAGAAACAGGACAGUAUGACCUGUUCAAAGGGAACAAUUAAUUAAUAGAAACUGGCCCUAAAGAAGACCUGAUGACAGAUCUACUCGAUGAAGACUUUAAAACAACUGCCUUAAAGAUGCUCAAAGAACUAAAGGAACGUAGAACGUUGAGAAAGCAAUGUGUGAACAGUGGAGCUAUCAGUAACGAGGGAGAAAACCUAAAAGAAACCAAAAAGAAAUUCUGGAGCUGAAAAGUACAAUAGCUGUAAUGAAAAACUCACUAGAGAAAUCAAAGGCAGAUUUGAACAGGCAGAAGAAAGAAUCUUUCGAAAAUCUAUCUUAUUUCAAGUUCUAAACAGCUGGCAGUAAGACAUUGGUCUAUGUCCAAAUUUGAGAAAAUGAAGACCCUUUCUGCCUUUGGGGAGGUUUAAGCCAGUUCCUCCUUUUCUGUUUUCCUCAAUCUGUUCAUUCUGCAGUUUUGACUGCUUGUUCACACACCGAAACCCCUGGAGGGCUUUAAAACCACAAAUGCCAAGGCGUCCAGAGUGCUGACGAAUGUUACGUGGCUCUAUCGUGCAGCCAGGUCUGAGAGCCACUGUUUUAAAAUUCACAACUAGUACCAGAAGUCCUCAUGACUCAGGAUAAUUGCUUCUGGGAAAGGCAACUUACUGUAAAUGGGGCCAGAAUUGCAUAAUAAAUAGUACGUUAAAAAAAAUAGUUAAUUAUGUUGCAUUAAAAAUAAAAGUUAAGGGCUUCCGUGGUGGUGCAGUGGUUGAGAGUCUGCCUGCCGAUGCAGGGGACACGGGUUCGUGCCCCGGUCCAGGAAGAUCCCACAUGCCGCAGAGUGGCUGGGCCCGUGAGCCAUGGCCACUGAGCCUGCGCGUCUGGAGCCUGUGCUCCGCAACAGGAGAGGCCACAACAGUGAGAGACCCGCGUACCGCAAAAAAAAAAAAAACACAAAAAAGUUAAAAUUAUGAAAACAUUGCAACAAUUUUAGAAUCAAUAAAAGGAAGCAAAAAAUUCUAUGCUCAAAUCUGUAUGUCCAAAUCAGUACCCUGAAAGAACCCUUCUUUGCUUACAGAAUUUUUAAGUGAGAAUUUCAAACAUACACAAAAGUAGAGAUUAUAGCACAGUGAAUUCCAUGUAUCCAUCACCCAGCACCAAUAACUAUAAAAAAGCUCUUUUAAUGAAUAUAAAAUAAAGAACAGCACCGUCUAAUCAGCAGCAUUCCUCCCUUUCUUGGCAGUAAUGGUGCAUCUUAAAAUCAGCAGCGUCUUAGGUUGAAGGCCUUAGAAAUGAAGCCAUUCACGUGGAAUCAAAGGAGCAUCUGGGCGCUUCCACCUGCAUUCACGCCUCACAGGAUAGAACUUCCUCUUACAUUCGGUCACCCUAUAAUCUCAUCUAUCAAAGUUAAAAUUUUACUUUUCUAAUUUGAAGUUUUGUUUCAUAUUUAGCUGCUGCUCUUGUGGUCUGUGUCUUUGAUUCCAUUAGGUACUUCUUACCUAGACUCUAUUUUCCUCCCCAAACUAUCUUUGCACCAUUAAAAACAUCAUCUAAUUUCUGCAGCUUCACAGCACACUUGAAUACUCUCCUAUUGUAGAUUUGCAAGAUGAAUUGCGUUUGAGAAUUUUUCCCCUGAACCUAGUUCCUGAAAUUUAAUAUCCUUAACAAAAUGAAUUUUUGUUGAGUGAUUCUUGCUUCCAUAUUAAUGAUUUUGUCCCCCACGGAUGCAGAACUAAGAAUUUGAUCCCUAAUUAGGCAGCAUAGGUGAAAAACCAUUCAGGUGCUAGAUGUAGGAUGACAGAUUCUAUUUCUCCAUUAGAGAUUGGGUUCUCAGGGUUAUCAGAGAAUGUCUAGUGGGUUUCCACUGGACCACAGAGAUUACAGUUGAGAAAGAUAGACACAUACUAAAAAACACAAAGGGGUAGGGAAAGAGAGUCACAGGUUUCCUAGCUCCUGGAAUUCUUAGCCUAGGCUUUGAAGCUGGGGUGAUGUACUUAAAAUAUAUGUAUAUUGUGGUAGAAUAUACAUAACAUCAAAUGCAUCAUCUUUAUUGUUUUUUAUUGAAGUACAGUUGAUUUGCAGCAUUGUGUUAGUUUCAGGUGUAAUCUUAGCCAUUUUUAAGUGUACAGUUCGCUGGCAUUAAGUACAUCCAUACUUGUUGGGCAGCCAUCACCACCAUCCAUCUGCAGAAUUUUUCUUCUUUCCAAACUGAAACUCUGCGCUCACUAAACACUAAUGCAUUUCCCCCUCUCCCCAGCCCCUGGCACCCACCGUCUGCUUUCUAUCUCUGUGCAUUUGACUGCUCUGGGGGCCUCAUGUAAGUGGAGUCGUGCAAAACCGGCCCCUUUGAUGACUAGCCUCUUUCACUGAGCAUAACUCCUCAAGGCUCGUCCACUUUGUAGCAUGUGCCAGAAUUUUCUUCCUUUUUAAAAAUAAACUAUAUAUAUAUUAUUUUAUUUAUCCAUUCACUCAUCCACCGAUAGACACGGGUUGCUGCCUCCUUUUGGCUCUUGUGAAUGAUGCUGCUAUAAACAUGGUGUACAAAUAUUUGUUCAAGUCCCUGUUUUCACUUCUUUGGGGUUUAUACCCAGAAGUGGAAUUGAUUCAUAUGGUAACUGUAUGUUUGAUUUCUUGAGGAAUUGCUGUAGCAUCCUGAUUCCCGCUCUUAGGGAGCCCUCCAGGCUCCAGCCUCUGGCGUUCCCGAGGCUGUGCCUCCCCGAGGGUGGACCUAGGCCGUCUCCACCAGAUCCACCUGGGGAGACCCCUGUCACCCACCGCUACCUCCAUCCACUCUGGGCGAGGGCCUGGGGCUUUGUUUCCACGGGUGAAUCCACCUCCCCAGUGGCCCGCUGUGCACACCUGAUGCUAGUCGCCCUGGUCAAGCUGUUCUGGAAGCUUGAACUGAAAGAACCUCAGGCCAGGCGGUGGCCACACAGAGAGGCCCCUCCAGGGAAGGGGCAGCCCUCACGGCUCUUUUUAGCAUCUUGCCACACAGAAAAGUGGCAAGACGGCCAUGCUUUUGAAAAGUUAUUGUAUUUCUCCAAAGAAGACAUGCAGAUGGCCAACAGACACAUGAGAAGAUGCUCUACAUCGUUAAUUAUUAGAGAAAUGCAAAUCAAAACCACAAUGAGUUAUCACCUCACACUGUCUACAAAUAAUAAAUGCUGGAGAAGGUGUGGAGAAAAGGGAACCCUCCUACACUGUUGGCGGGAAUGUAAAUGAGUGCAGCCAGCCACUAUGAUAAACAGUAUGGAGGUUCCUUAAAAAAAAAACUGAAAAUAGAUCCAACAAUCCCACUCCUGGGCAUAUAUCCAGAAAAGAUGAAAACUCUAAUUUGUAAAGAUACAGGCACACCCAUGUUCAUAACAGCACUAUUUACAAUAGCCAAGACAUGGAAACAACCUAAGUGUCCAUCAACAGAUGACUGGUUUAAGAAAAUGUGAGAUCUAUAUAGAGAGACAUAGAUAUACAGAGGUAUAGAUACUCAGCCAUAAAAAGAAUGAAAUAUUGCCAUUUGCAGCAACAUGGAUGGAGCUAGAGAUUAUUAUACUAAGUGAAGUAAGUCAGAGAAAGACAAAUAUUAUAUGCCAUCACUUAUAUGUGGAAUCUAAAAAAUAAUACAAAUGAAUGUAUAUACAGAAACAGACUCAGACAUAUAAUACAAAAUUAUGGUUACCAAAGGGGAAAGGGAAGGAGGGAUAAAUUAGGAGUACGGGAUUAACAGAUACUCACGACAAUACAUAAAACAGAUAAGCAACAAGGAUUCACUGUAUAACACAGGGAACUAUAUUCAGUAUCUUGAAUAACCUAUAAUGGAAAAGAAUCUGAAUAUAGAUCUAGAUCUAGUAUAGAGAUAGAGGUAGAUAUCUGAAGCCUUCUGUUGUACACCUGAAAACUAACGCGAUAUUGUAUACUUCAACUGUACUUCAAUUAAAAAGUUACAACUUUAACAACCCUAUUGAGAUGUAAUUCACAUAUAUAUGCGAUACAAUCCACCCAUUUAAAGUAUACAAUUCAAUGAUUUUUUUUUUCUUUCUUUUUUUUUCGGUACGCGGGCCUCUCACCGUUGUGGCCUCUCCCGUUGCGGAGCACAGGCUCUGGACGCGCAGGCUCAGCGGCCACGGCUCACGGGCCCAGCAGCUCCGCGGCAUGUGGUAUCUUCCCAGACCGGGGCACGAACCCGUGUCCCCUGCAUCGGCAGGCGGACUCUCAAUCACUGCGCCACCAGGGAAGCCCCAAUUCAAUGAUUUUUAAUAUAUUCACAGGGUUGUGCAACCGUCGCCACGAUUUGACCUUAAAUAUUUAUUUAUUUAUUUAUUUUGGUUGAGCCAGGUCUUAAUUGUGGCACGCGGGAUCUUUAGCUGCGGCAUGCGGACUUCUUAGUUGUAGCAUGCGGGAUCUAGUUCCCCAACCAGGGAUCGAACCUGGGCCUCCUGCAGUGGAAGCGCAGUCUUACCCACUGGACCACCAAGGAAGUCCCCCCACGAUUUGAUCUUAGAAUAUUUUUGCCCCCAAGAAGAAACCCCUUAACUAUGGCACAGUCUCUCCCCUUCCCCCUCAACUUCCUGUCUCCAUGGAUUUGCCAAUCUGGACACGUCACAUGAGUGGAAUCCAACCACGUGUCCUCUUGUGAUUGGCUUCUCUCACUGAGCAUCAUGUUCCCAAGGUUCAUCCAUGUUGUGUCAUGUGUCAGGGCUUCAUUCCUUCUUAUGCCUGAAUUAUAUUCCAUCGAGGGGAGGGACCACAUUUUGUUUAUCCAUUCGUCUGCUGAUGGACAUUUGGGUUGUUUCUACCUUUUGACUAGUGUUAAUAAUGCUGCUAUAGACAUUUGUGUACAUGUUUUUGUGUGGACAUAUGCUGUCAUUUCCCUUGGGUACAUACCUAGAGGUAGAACUGAGAUUCUAUGGUAACUCUAUGUUUAAGUUUUUAUGGACCUGCCAGACUAGCUGCACGACUUUACAUUCCCACCAGCGUGUGACGUUCCGACUUUGCCACACCCUUGUCCACACUUGUUAUUGUCUCUUUUGAUUUUAGCCAUCACAGUGCAUGUGAAGUGGAUCUUGUGGUGGUUUUGAUUUGCAUUCUCAUGAUGACUAAGGAUGUUGGGUUUCUCUGCAUGCAAGGCUGUGUUUCACACACAUUCAGCAACCGGGUGUCCCCACGUAGUCACUUGGCUGGGCUCCCGGGAUGUUGGCAGGACCCAGACAGACACAGCCCUGCCCCACAGAGGGGUACAGACAUGUAAACAAAGCAGGUACUUGCUAAGAACAGCGUCCUGGGACAUCACCCAUAAAAUGCCCCAUGAGCCACAAUCCAGACAGGCCUAAAGGGCACCUGAGGGAGGGAAAGUCACAGUGAGGCCUUCCUUCCAGACCUUCGAUAAAAUCAGAGCAGAGAUGCCAGUGUUGGCAGCCUGUUGGAGUUGGUCACAGAACAUAACUAUUCUUUAACCAUGCAGCGUGUUGCUUGUGGGAUCUGAAUUCCCCCACCUGGGGACUGAACCUGGGCCUUUGGCAGUGAGAGCUUGGAGUCCUAACCACUGGACCGUCAGGGGAGUCCCAGAGCAUAAAUAUUCUUAAUCUUAAAGUUGACAGCAGACAUGGCAGGGGUCCGGAGAGAUGGCCGAGCCUCCUGGAUGGAUGGUCCCAGGUCCCAGGACCGCAGUGCGAACUUGGGCUGUGUGGUGACUGCAGCCACAUUCCAUCCCCACCCCUGCCUCCAGGAUCCCCCAUUAGACGGGUGACAGCCUUGCAAAAACACGACGGGACACAGGGGAAGGUCGAGUGCUGGGGGCUGGUGAGGCUGGGGAGCCGGUGUCUCCUGGAUGCAGAGCUUGGUGUGGGAAGGUUAGGAAGUCGCGGUGGGGGGGGGGGGCGGGGGGUGGUUUGCACAACAGUGUGAACGUACCUAACGCCACCGCACUGCGCCCUGAAAAACAGCGAGAACGGCAACUUGUAGGUUGUGUGUUCUUUGCCACAAUGAUAAUGAAAAGGUCGUGCUCACUCUGGGCUCUGACGCAAUGAAAACGAAGCCAACAGCGUAGCCGGGAUCGGCUGGUCCGGCGAGGUCCCGCCCCGCCCGGACGGCCACCUGCGCCCCGCUACGGCCUCACCUCCGUGCCAGGCUGCUCGGCCCGUUUCGGGCGCACAGCCCGGGCCGCGCGGGUGGAUCCACGGCCAUCGCCGCGGGAGCCGCGGGCGGCGGAGCGGAGCCGACAGAGCCACCGGCCCCGGGACCAGCCGACCCACCUGGACACCCCGCACCCCGGACCCGGGGGACACCCCCAUGGCCGCGCGGAGCCCCGAAGCCCCCAGCGGGCGCGCGCUGCGGGACGCGGCAGAAAAUCUAUUUCAGGAACUUCAAGAACACUUUCAAGCUCUGACUGCAACGUUAAACCUGAGAAAUAUCCUUUUCUGUCUCAUAACAAAUACUGCGGUUGCUUUUGGACUAUUGAACUGUCGUGGACUAUCUUGUUGUUUUCUGUAUUAGUGGAUAAUUGUUGACCUAAGACUUCCUGGUGUUUACGUCUGUGCCUUUACAUGGCAUCCUGAUGUAUUAAUUACCGCUCACAGGUAAUUACUUCCUGCUUGACCAGCAAUACAGGGCAUUUCAUGAGGCAAGGAUAAAACACAAGGACACACGAACAAUACAUACUACCCAGUGGGGCCUCCCAGCAAGCCCUAAAGAAAUCUGGUUAGUCUGCUAAAUAGCAUUUAUACUCCCCCAAACAGUCAACCCUGCACAGGUACUGGUUAGGUCUCCAGCGCAGGGUACGCUAUCUGGCUCUCCUUGCCUUGUUUUGUUUUGUAACUUCAGCAGCUCGCCAUUUGGUAAGCCAUGGAUUCAAACAGAGUUAGGUGGAAUGUUUGUUUCCGGUUUAAGAAAAUCCAGAAAAGGGGACACUUGCCCUAAGACUUGCCCAAGUGAACUCACUUCACACAAUUAAACUCCUGCCUUAAAAUGUGUGCAAAUUGUUUGCAGAGAGAUCCUGUAGAUGGGCUCCCACAGGGAAAAAGAGAUUCUGAAACAGGAUAAAAUUAUAAACAGUAGGAAAGUUUGUUUUAAACACAGUUAAUUUUCAUUGUAUUUACAUACUGAUUAGAGUUUGGUUAAAACAUAGUUAAACAUACCAGACAACCUCAUAUCCCCGAAUCCAUGUCCACGGAAAGGGAGCCAAGGUUUCAGAACCGGGCUCAGCGUGCAAAGAUUAAAGGCACGUACAGACACUCAGGGAUGUGAUUAAUGUGCACUGACUUAAGGUGUUAGUACACAUCCGCUGCCUUUGAUUCCCUCAUUUUAGAUGCACCACAGGGCAUUUUUAUCAGCCCUGGUGAUGCAGUUUACGUGGAGGCUUUGAGGGACCUGGGUAGGUGCCCGUAUUCCAUGUGCUGUUCUCCUUAACCUCGUACUGGAAGAAAUGGGAGGUCGCAUUGAAGACUUGCAGAAGAAUGUGAAUGACUUGAUGGUGCAAGCUGGGAUUGAAAGUUCUGCUCAAGAGCAAAUGGCAAGGCCUUAUUAAGGCACUCAGGUGUUCACCGUUUACAUAUCUUCUGCUUUCAUCUUGAAACAUUUAAGCCCAUAUUUGUUCACUAAGGGAACUACUGCUUCUGCACUACAUGAAAAACCUUCAGGAAUAAUAAAAAAAAUUCACAAAUGCUCUUUUCUAAAUGGAACAGAAACACUCUUUGUCAUUGUUCCUUAAAAAGUGCACAUUUUAAAGGAAAACUAUUAUUUAAAAAUUGGAUUUUGUUAAAGUACUUUUCACCCUCAUCCCUCAAAUUAGUUUUCAAUCAAAACACAAGUCAUGAUGAAUGAGUGCUUGGGGAUGACAACUAGUGGCUUCUGUUUGAGACGUUCAUGGAAGGAUUUAAAGAAGACACAUGUGCAUUAGGUUCUCACCCCAGUUCAUGAGUGGUUCCUGAGGAGCCCACCCCGCCCCCCAGAAUGCAAAUAUUUCUUUUCCAGUGCAAUUUUGCAUUUCAUCUUUUUUCUUUUACUAUUUUAUUUUUAAUUUUUAGUCUUAUUUUUUAAUUGAAGGUUUUAUUGUAGUUGACGUACAAUAGUGUAUAAGUUAUAGGUGUACAAUGUAGUGACUCACAAUUUUUAAAUGUUAUACUCCAUUUAUAGUUAUUAGAAAAUAUUGGCUGUAUUACCCAUGUUGUACAAUGUAUCCUUGUAGCUUAUUUUAUACAUAAUGGUUUGUACCUCUUAAUCCCCUACCCCUAGUUGCCUCUCCCCCUUCCCUCUCCCCAAUGGUAACCACUAAUUUGUUCUCUA